AAAAAACGAGGUAACAAAUAAAAAAGGUAGAAGUGAAAUAGCAAGCUUAUCUUCUUCCAAUCCACACUCAUCCAUACACCGCAACAACCAUUUCAAUCCGAAAUAACUUUAUACUACCUCAUCAAAACAAAACAUGCAAACAAAAGUAUAGUACACAUGAGAGGAAGGAAAUAGACCAUGAAAGAUAAAGAUAGGAGAACAUAACUUCUGCUGAAACCUCAAUCUCCGACCGACUGUGAAGAUUCCUACGACCCCUACCUUCAACGUCCUCAAUGCGAACAUAUCUCCUAGUCAAUUGUGCACCACUGGCUUCAUCCUCCUUCUCCACCAAACAUUUGCCGAGACCAGUCGUCGGAAAACGCUCAAAGCACCCUCAACCACCACCUAUGGGCAGUCAUGUACCUUCUCUCUAUCUCUUUCAUUACCUUCUCUCUAUUUCUUUCCUUCUCUCUAUCUUCUUUUAAUUUUCCAAGGCUAUUAUUA
rnacentral:lncRNA from 1 species